UUUCCGUAGGUGAACCUGCGGAAGGAUCAUUAUUGUAUAACCGAGGUGCGAGGGCUGUCGGUGACCCGAAAGGUCCUGCACGCCCGUGUGCCCUCACACACAUCCCUCUCACCCCUAUGUGCACCUCCGCGUGGGUCCCCCCUUGGCUUGUUCGGAGGGGGGCUUACGUUUUCACACAAACGUUGUAUCCAGUGUAGAAUGUAUUAUUUGUUUUUGCGAUCACGCAAUCAAAACAACUUUCAACAACGGAUCUCUUGGCUCUC
rnacentral:misc_RNA from 1 species